GAUGAACGCUGGCGGCGUGCUUAACACAUGCCAGUCGAACGGAAAGGCUCCUGCUUGCCGGGGUACUCGAGUGGCGAACGGGUGAGUAACACGUGGGUGAUCUGCCCUGCACUUCGGGAUAAGCUUGGGAAACUGGGUCUAAUACCGGAUAGGACCGCAUUUUGGAUGGUGUGGUGGAAAGUUUUUUCGGUGUGGGAUGAGCUCGCGGCCUAUCAGCUUGUUGGUGGGGUAAUGGCCUACCAAGGCGUCGACGGGUAGCCGGCCUGAGAGGGUGUACGGCCACAUUGGGACUGAGAUACGGCCCAGACUCCUACGGGAGGCAGCAGUGGGGAAUAUUGCACAAUGGGCGCAAGCCUGAUGCAGCGACGCCGCGUGGGGGAUGACGGCCUUCGGGUUGUAAACUCCUUUCGCUAGGGACGAAGAGUAAUUGACGGUACCUGGAGAAGAAGCACCGGCGAACUACGU
rnacentral:rRNA from 1 species